GUUUAACGUUAUUGAAAGUCCCAUACCUUGCUCAACUAAAAUCAUUAUAUUCUUGUGGUUCUCUGGUAGCUGGUGCUCAAUUUGAAUUUUCUGCUGCUUGUAUGUUAAUGGGGAUUUAAUCCAUUUCAGAAGCUUCUUCCUCUUUGGGGAUUACGAAAAAAAUGAAAUAGCUGGCGUAAAACUCAUCCUCACUGUAGAUUCAGUUCUACAGUCUGCCUGGUGCUUAGGUUACUUUCUGUUUCAAAUAAUGCUACUUAAAUCAUUUGUGUUAUCCUCGCGCAAAUUACGAUUUCCUCAUGCCACCAGAAGCAUACUGCAAUUGAUGGUCAUUUGCUACCUGAAAUGGUUUUCUCUUCAGAAGAUUUUGUUAUUCAUGUGCUUAUGAGGCCAAGUUAAGUCUCCAGACGGGAGAUGAACCCAAGUCCCUGUGCCUGAGUUCAAGUUCAAGCCAGCUCUUUGGCAGCUCCACAAAGACAAGUUUCAGGCAUGAGAUACAUGCCUAAUCAUUUGUCUACCCAUGAUUUAGGUCAG
rnacentral:misc_RNA from 1 species